CAGAGUUGCAAAACUCCCUAAACCAUUGUGAACCUACCACUAAACAGUUGCUUCGGCGGGUGGCGCGAGGGCCCCUUCACGGGGGCAGGGAGCGCCCUAGACAGCCCGCCGGAGGUACUCAAACUCUUUGUUUACCACAGGCCUCUCUGAGUAUUGUACUUAAAUAAGUCA
rnacentral:misc_RNA from 1 species